rnacentral:lncRNA from 1 species
GGAAACAUACCUGAAGGCGAAAAAAUUAGAAGUAUUGAGAGACUCGAUGUCUUUCAUGGAUGGGUGCGAGUAAAAAAUGAUAAAGAUGUUAGGGAAGUGAUGUUUAGAUCAAAUGAUAUCAGUUUGAUUGUUAUAAUCAAUUAGAAAUGUUGUUUUUAAAUGUUGUAGUUAAGUAUUUUUAUCUGUUUUGAUAUCUAUUAUUUGUGCUGUUUAUUCAGACCUGUUUGGUUUUAAGUGUGUUUAAGUUGGAGUGAUGUUUGUGCCAGACCGCUUACUCACAACCCCUUAUCCAUCAAAAUUUUCGGUUCACAGACAAACAAACCUACGACCUUAACAUGUCAAACACCCAACCACAAUACCAAGAGCAUACCCCGUACCACCACCAACAAGAAGAUCAUCAUCAAGACACCCAACAUCGCUAUGCACCUAACACAUAACCCAACCAUAGAUGUCUUAGCCAAAACACUCAUCAAUCAUUUAACACCAACCGUCUUUCCUCAUACUAUAACCAAGAAGCUCAGCCAUCAUAAAACCAAAACAUGCAACAACCAUAUGGCUACCAAACACCACAACAAUCAUUUCAACAUUUCCUCGACACAUCAUUCCCACCAAUGUCUCCCUUCAAUCGUUCUGGUCGCCCUCCAAUAACUCAAACACAAUCCAACUACUCUGGGAUGGGUCGCGAAAUCAGCUAUGGCGGUAGCGCUUCAUUGCAGGACUACCUGAAUUUGUCUGAAUAUCGUAGACAAUCUCCUGCAGGUGGUGGUGAUGUUUUCGGGCCCUCAAAUCCUCAAACAUCUGGGGUGAAUCAUCAAUGUGGGUUAGGGUCACGCGUUCUGGUAGCUAGGGGAUGUGGUAUCAGAGGUCGGUUAGGUCAUACUGGUCAACGAACUUAGUCUUUUUAGUUAUCGUAUGUAAACACAUAUUAAUAUUAAUAUCAAUUGGUCUGAUUUCGACUUUUAUCUAAAAUGUAUAUUUUUAAAAAAAAUUGUACAUCACACAUAAGUGUCAGGCCAAUUGGCGUAUCCUUUAAAAUUUAACACACAAGCGCCAAUUGAAUUGACAGCACUAGGUGCAUAAGUCAA